UGGGGAAUUUUGGACAAUGGGGGCAACCCUGAUCCAGCCAUGCCGCGUGAGUGACGAAGGCCUUAGGGUUGUAAAACUCUUUCGUCGGGGACGAUAAUGACGGUACCCGAAGAAGAAGCACCGGCCAAUUCCGUGCCAGCAGCCGCGGUAAGACGGAAGGUGCAAGCGUUGCUCGGAAUCACUGGGCGUAAAGGGUGCGUAGGCGGCUGUGUAAGUCUGGCGUGAAAGCCCAGGGCUCAGCCCUGGAAGGGCGCUAGAAACUGCGCGGCUAGAGUGCCGGAGGGGAGAGUGGAAUUCCUGGUGUAGCGGUGAAAUGCGUAGAUAUCAGGAGGAACACCAGUGGCGAAGGCGGCGAUCUGGGAAGAUACUGACGCUGAGGUGCGAAAGCGUGGGGAGCAAACAGGAUUAGAUACCCCCGUAGUCCCUGAGCGGGCUGGCAAGGCGCAU
rnacentral:rRNA from 1 species